AUACACACACACACACACACACGUGUGUGUGUGUGUGUGUGUGUGUAU
rnacentral:miRNA from 1 species